rnacentral:rRNA from 1 species
UUGGAGGGCAAGUCUGGUGCCAGCAGCCGCGGUAAUUCCAGCUCCAAUAGCGUAUAUUAAAGUUGUUGCAGUUAAAAAGCUCGUAGUUGAAUUUCGGGAUUGACACAUCGGUCGUGCCUUAAGGGGUAUGAACUGGUGUAGUCAGUUUCUCACCUUCUGGAGAACCGCGAUGUCCUUAAUUGGGUGCCGCGAGGAACCAGGACCUUUACUUUGAAAAAAUUAGAGUGUUUAAAGCAGGCAUUUUGCUUGAAUACAUUAGCAUGGAAUAAUAAAAUAGGACGGAUGGUUCUAUUUUGUUGGUUUCUAGGAUCACCGUAAUGAUUAAUAGGGAUAGUUGGGGGCAUUAGUAUUCAAUUGUCAGAGGUGAAAUUCUUGGAUUAUUGAAGACUAACUACUGCGAAAGCAUUUGCCAAGGAUGUUUUCAUUAAUCAAGAACGAAAGUUAGGGGAUCGAAGACGAUCAGAUACCGUCGUAGUCUUAACCAUAAACUAUGCCGACUAGGAAUCAGACGAUGUUAAUUUUUUAUGACUCGUUUGGCACCUUACGGGAAACCAAAGUGUUUGGGUUC